UGGCAGCAGUGGGGAAUAUUGCACAAUGGGCGCAAGCCUGAUGCAGCCAUGCCGCGUGUAUGAAGAAGGCCUUCGGGUUGUAAAGUACUUUCAGUCGUGAGGAAGGUGUUAAGGUUAAUAACCUUAGCAAUUGACGUUAGCGACAGAAGAAGCACCGGCUAACUCCGUGCCAGCAGCCGCGGUAAUACGGAGGGUGCGAGCGUUAAUCGGAAUUACUGGGCGUAAAGGGCACGCAGGCGGUUAAUUAAGUUGGAUGUGAAAUCCCCGGGCUUAACCUGGGAAUGGCAUUCAAGCUGGUUAGCUAGAGUCUUGUAGAGGGGGUAGAAUUCCAUGUGUAGCGGUGAAAUGCGUAGAGAUGUGGAGGAAUACCGGUGGCGAAGGCGGCCCCUGGACAAAGACUGACGCUCAUGUGCGAAAGCGUGGGGAGCAAACAGGGAUUAGAUACC
rnacentral:rRNA from 1 species